UGCUCUUUCCCCAACCUUCUCCUAUCAUAUUUUCUCCCAUCCCUCCAUUCAUUAGACGGAACAAAAAUGUUCUUUUGGCUGAACUUGGUGUUCUUACUCGCAUCCCUUGGAGGUGUCAAAUCUCAAGUCCAAUUGGUGGAGUCUGGAGGGGACUUGAGGAGAUCUGGAGAAUCCAUUCGUAUCUCUUGUCAUGGCUCUGGCUUCACCAUGAGGAGCUACUGGAUGAACUGGGUGAGACAGUAUCCAGGAAAAGGACUGGAAUGGGUUGCAGGAAUGGGUACAACUAUAAUUCAAUAUUCAGACAGAGUCAAGGGCCGCUUCACCAUCUCCAGGGAUGAUGCCAAAAGCCAGCUGUAUCUGCAGAUGAACAAUCUGAAACUAGAGGACACGGCUGUCUAUUACUGUGCAAGAGACACAGUGAGAGGAAGUGAAUCUGAAGCCCGUGAAGAACUUUCAUUACCUCUGAGCAAUUCUCCAAAUUGA